rnacentral:lncRNA from 1 species
CUUGCCCACUCCAGCCAACUCGGUAGGCAUCAUAGUUCACCUCAGCAUCUUGCAGCUACUUUUGGAGGUCGGAGAGCUUCUGCGACCAGUCUCGAUCGCGAUCAGUUUGGACUGUGAGCCAGGACGAGCUCCCUUCCAACUGGCCGAUCUUCUCCCGUGCGGCCGCCAGUUCGACUUCAAGGGAGCUAAUCUUGGAGGCCUGAGUCCA